CCUACGGGACGCAGCAGUAGGGAAUCUUCGGCAAUGGACGAAAGUCUGACCGAGCAACGCCGCGUGAGUGAAGAAGGUUUUCGGAUCGUAAAACUCUGUUGGUAGAGAAGAACGCUGGUGAGAGUGGAAAGCUCAUCAAGUGACGGUAACUACCCAGAAAGGGACGGCUAACUACGUGCCAGCAGCCGCGGUAAUACGUAGGUCCCGAGCGUUGUCCGGAUUUAUUGGGCGUAAAGCGAGCGCAGGUGGUUUAUUAAGUCUGGUGUAAAAGGCAGUGGCUCAACCAUUGUAUGCAUUGGAAACUGGUAGACUUGAGUGCAGGAGAGGAGAGUAGAAUUCCCUGUGUAGCGGUGAAAUGCGUAGAUAUAUGGAGGAUCACCGGUGGCGAAAGCGGCUCUCUGACCUGUAACUGACACUGAGGCUCGAAAGCGUGGGGAGCAAACAGGAUUAGAUACCCCAGUAGUC
rnacentral:rRNA from 1 species